rnacentral:rRNA from 1 species
AGAGUUUGAUCAUGGCUCAGGAUGAACGCUGGCGGCGUGCCUAAUACAUGCAAGUCGAACGAGGUAGUAGCAAUACUACCUAGUGGCGAACGGGUGAGUAACACGUAGGUAACCUGCCCUUAAGCUUGGGAUACCCAGAGGAAACUUUGGCUAAUACCGGAUAAUAUCAGAGAAGGCAUCUUCUUUGAUUAAAAGGCCCUGCAAGGGGUCACUUAAGGAUGGACCUGCGGCGCAUUAGCUAGUUGGUGAGAUAACAGCCCACCAAGGCGAGGAUGCGUAGCCGAACUGAGAGGUUGAUCGGCCACACUGGAACUGAGACACGGUCCAGACUCCUACGGGAGGCAGCAGUAAGGAGUUUUCGGCAAUGGGGGAAACCCUGACCGAGCAACGCCGCGUGAGUGAUGAAGGUCCUUUGGAUUGUAAAGCUCUGUUGUAAGCCAUGAAUGGUAGCUAUAGGAAAUGAUAGUUACUUGACGACAGCUUACCAGAAAGCCACGGCUAACUACGUGCCAGCAGCCGCGGUAAUACGUAGGUGGCAAGCGUUAUCCGGAAUUAUUGGGCGUUAAGAGCGAGCAGGCGGCUGAAUAAGUCUGAAGUCAAAUCGUGGGGCUCAACCCCAUUUCGCUUUGGAAACUGUUUGGCUAGAGUACGGCAGAAGUGAAGGGAACUCCAUGUGUAGCGGUGAAAUGCGUAGAUAUAUGGAAGAACACCAGUGGCGAAGGCGCUUCACUAGGCCGAAACUGACGCUCAGUCACGAAAGCGUGGGUAGCAAAUAGGAUUAGAUACCCUAGUAGUCCACGCCGUA